UGAGUCACUCCAGAGCCCCAGUCAUGGAACGAUGCCAGCCACAUCCCAGGUGGGUCUUCCCCAGCCGCGCGUUAGCUGAAUCUGAAAAACCCGUCACAUGUGCCUGGAAGUCUGCUUCUAUGGUGAAUCUAAGAGCCACCGACGACGGAGCAAGAUGCUACAGCACAGCUCCCCUUUCUUGCCAAGGAGGACAACAAAAAGCCACCGAAGGAGACGGUAGCACCAAGGCAGGCACAAUCUUCAGAAGAUAGGUUUGAUGGACACCUGCUAACAGUUUCUUAUCAUCUUUGCACAACUAUCCAUCCCAACUGCCAGAGGACAAAACAGGGCCUGGACUGGAAUUCUUGAAUAAGGGGGGAUGGGGAAAGAAAUAAAAAGCAA
rnacentral:lncRNA from 1 species